GCCAGCAGCCGCGGUAAUACAGAGGGUGCRAGCGUUAAUCGGAAUUACUGGGCGUAAAGCGUGCGUAGACGGUWAUGUAAGUCGGGUGUGAAAGCCCCGGGCUCAACCUGGGAAUKSCAUUCGAGACUGCAUWGCUWGGGUGCGGAAGAGGGAAGCGGAAUUUCMGGUGUAGCGGUGAAAUGCGUAGAUAUCKGAAGGAACACCAGUGGCGAAAGCGGCUUCCUGGUCCRRCACCGACGUUCAGGCACGAAAGCGUGGGGAGCAAACRGGAYUAGAUACCCUGGUAGUCCACGCCAUAAACGAUGAGAACUAGACGUUGAGAGGGUAAGCCUMCCAGUGUCGUAGCUAACGCGCUAAGUUCUCCGCCUGGGGAGUACGGCCGCAAGGUUGAAACUCAAAGGAAUUGACGGGGGCCCGCACAAGAA
rnacentral:rRNA from 1 species